rnacentral:rRNA from 1 species
GUGAACGCUGGCGGUAGGCCUAACACAUGCCAGUCGAGCGGCAGCACAGGAGAGCUUGCUCUCUGGGUGGCGAGUGGCGGACGGGUGAGGAAUACAUCGGAAUCUGCCCAGUCGUGGGGGAUAACGUAGGGAAACUUACGCUAAUACCGCAUACGACCUUCGGGGGAAAGAGGGGGAUCGCAAGACCUCUCGCGAUUGGAUGAGCCGAUGUCGGAUUAGCUAGUUGGCGGGGUAAUGGCCCACCAAGGCGACGAUCCGUAGCUGGUCUGAGAGGAUGAUCAGCCACACUGGAACUGAGACACGGUCCAGACUCCUACGGGAGGCAGCAGUGGGGAAUAUUGGACAAUGGGCGCAAGCCUGAUCCAGCCAUACCGCGUGGGUGAAGAAGGCCUUCGGGUUGUAAAGCCCUUUUGUUGGGAAAGAAAUCUUUCAGGCUAAUACCCUGGGAGGAUGACGGUACCCAAAGAAUAAGCACCGGCUAACUUCGUG